rnacentral:rRNA from 1 species
GACGAACGCUGGCGGCGUGCUUAACACAUGCAAGUCGAACGGAAAGGCCCUUCGGGGUACUCGAGUGGCGAACGGGUGAGUAACACGUGAGUGAUCUGCCCUGCACUUUGGGAUAAGCCUGGGAAACUGGGUCUAAUACCGAAUAGGACCACGCGCUUCAUGGUGUGUGGUGGAAAGCUUUUGCGGUGUGGGAUGGGCCCGCGGCCUAUCAGCUUGUUGGUGGGGUAAUGGCCUACCAAGGCGACGACGGGUAGCCGGCCUGAGAGGGUGACCGGCCACACUGGGACUGAGAUACGGCCCAGACUCCUACGGGAGGCAGCAGUGGGGAAUAUUGCACAAUGGGCGCAAGCCUGAUGCAGCGACGCCGCGUGAGGGAUGACGGCCUUCGGGUUGUAAACCUCUUUCAAUAGGGACGAAGCGCAAGUGACGGUACCUAUAGAAGAAGCACCGGCCAACUACGUG